UCGAACGCCCCGCAAGGGGAGUGGCAGACGGGUGAGUAACGCGUGGGAAUCUACCUAGUUCUACGGAACAACAGUUGGAAACGACUGCUAAUACCGUAUACGCCCUAUGGGGGAAAGAUUUAUCGGAAUUAGAUGAGCCCGCGUAAGAUUAGCUAGUUGGUGGGGUAAUGGCCUACCAAGGCGACGAUCUUUAGCUGGUCUGAGAGGAUGAUCAGCCACACUGGGACUGAGACACGGCCCAG
rnacentral:rRNA from 1 species